rnacentral:lncRNA from 1 species
AUUUUCAGAGUAAAUCCUUUUGAUUUGAAAGAGUUGCGGAAUUUGUUCCCAAAAACAAAACAUGAUAAAACAUUGUUUACCGAAGCAUUUCGUAAAAGAAAUGUAUUUUCAUUAUAAUCAAAACUCGGGGUGUCAUGUUCCGAUACAGACCAAUAAGCAUAAACGAAUACAUUACAAGUCAUAUAACAAAUAUAAACAUAUGCAGACUUGUAAACAAAACAACUUGAUGGUUCAUCCAUCUCAUGCCCUUCCGCCACUACCUGUAAUACAAUUUAAAACUGAGUGGGUCAGGCUUGGGAGCCUGGUGAGCAUAUAGGGUUUUCAACCCACAAUAAAUACCAUAUUUAAUUUUCACCAACCAACAAUAACCCAAUUACCCAUUCCCGUUAUUCUCACUUUAAUGUCCCUAAAACAACUAACAUAAGGGACCUAGUCUAAGAAUAUUUCAUCGGGGCGACAACACAUGCUUCGGGGGUACCUCAGCAAUAUAAGUCAAAUAAGGCAACCAUGAGGGGGAUGGAGUACAGCGAAUGAACACCCAAGUUCAUUAACACCUACAGGUGGCGAACCUGCUAAUGUUUCCACAAGACUGUCUAGAAUAGCCAGUGGUCGUCAUCUAAACUCCGCUAGAUGACUCAAUCAAACAACAACGAGGCCUCUCAUCUGUUUAUUACACACCAACUGUCUACCCAUGUUCUACCCAACAUAUUAGUAGAUAAAAAUAUACAUUUGUAUACAUAGUUUAAAGAAAACCUGUAUAGCAUGCUUUAAUCAACACAUAUAUCACAUAACAGAUGAGGCACACACACACAUAACACAUAUCUCAUAAAGAAAUAAGCAGAUCUAUAAGAUAGAAGAGAGUGAAUACUCAUUCACACAUAACACAACCAAAUAUAUACACAUAGCACGUAUUUUUAUAUAAAAUACUUCGUAUUAUUGUAUUAGAAGAAAUAACUACACACUCACUUGAUCAGAAGAUGAUCGGACAGCACUACGGCUUAUAGAAGUAGUAAUCCACAGCAGAUCUGGAAGAUCUUCUCGAAAAUCGAACUUCUCGCGGGCAGAGCUUCGACUCGGGAACCGCACUUUUCGGGAUCUUCGGGAUCUCGGGACUUGCCUCGGGGCUAGAGUAUGAUACCGGGACUUCGGGGUAGCUUCGGGGGUUUUUGCACAGAGCUUCGACACGAAAACGAGAGGGAAUUGGCAAAAAUACCCGGAACCCUCGCAUCCUAUUUAUAGGAGGCUGGAGCCUCGGAGUACGCGGGGCGUACUGCGUUACGCGGGGCGUACUGCCCAAAACGUCAUUGCUUACGUAUCCGAAGUGCUCGAGUGCGAGUGUCGACAUCCCUCGGAGUACGCGGGGCGUACUCGAGUACGCGGGGCGUACCUCGGAUCAGAUCGGUGACUCCUUCGGAUAAUGCUUCCGAAUUUUGAAUUAAAAAUAAAUACAAAAUGAUUAAUAAACUUCGGAAAUUCAUAACUUCUUCAUACGAACUCCGUUUUCGACGUUCUUUAUAUCCACGCGAAGGUGAGACCACGCUCUACGACUUUCGUUUAGACUCCGUCGGCUAAUUUUGACUUUAUUUUUAUUAAUUAUUUUUAAUAGGCCGGGACAGAAACUUUCGUUAUAAAUUCAUAACUUCUUCGUUUGACGUCCGUUCUCGCCUAACUUUUUAUCGUUUCAAUACCAACAAUGAGAUCUUCGAUUCUCAUUUAGAUUGCUUCGGCUAACAACCGCUCGAUCUCAAAUCGAGUAAAACAGGCUGUAUAUCGCUAAGCCGGAACUUCGAUAAAUCAUAACUUCCUCAUACGAAGUCAGAUUUGGGCGUUCUAUAUAUAUUCGGAAACCUCGUUUCAACUACUACAACAUUAACCAAAGAUAUUAAGUUUAUUUUACACUUAAAUUUUGACGCUUAUUUUUAUUCUUAAUUAAUCAAACCACAUAAUUAAGCAAUUAAGCACAAAACACAUAAUACUCAAAUAAUACAAUCUUAUUAUUUCAAAACGGGUUACAAAGGUUAACCUAGACUAUUACAUUGCUAAAAAUGGCAAGCCCGGAAACACAGGCGUUACAAUUCUCUCCACCUUAGAAUGAUUCCGUCCCCGGAAUCACACAUCAACAAACAAAUGCGGAUAGCGACUCAACAUGUCACUCUCCGUCUCCCAGGUGAGAUUCGGCCCAUUCGUGUGUUUCCAUCGGACAAGCACUAACCCAACCAUUUUGCGUCGCAACUUCUUAGUCUUUCGGUCAACAAUUGCCUCUGGUUCUUCAAUCAACCUUUUGUUCUCAUCAAUUCUCAAUUCAGAAAUUGGAAUUAUAUCGGGAACUUCUCCCGUGAACUUCCUCAAAUAACACACAUGAAAGGUGUUGUGAAUUCCAUUCAGUUCUUCGGGUAAUUCGAGCUUGUAAGCUUGAUUCCCAAUCCUCUGAAGGACUUUAAACGGUCCAAUAAACCUUGGACUCAACUUUCCCCUUUUACCAAAUCUUAUAAGUCCCUUCCACGGCGAGACUUUAAGCAAAACCGAAUCUCCAACCUCAAAAGUCAUCGGUCUUCGCUUCUUGUCAGCAUAGCUCUUUUGACGAUCUUGAGCUGCUAACAUUCUUUCCCUAAUUAUUUUCAACUUUUCAGCAGUUUGAUGAACCAUCUCCGGUCCCAUAAACUGCUUUUCCCCAGCCUCAAGCCAACAAGACGGCGUACGACACUUCUGUCCAUACAAAGCUUGAUAAGGUGCCAUCUUAAUGCUCGAGUGAAAACUAUUAUUAUAGGAAAAUUCUACCAACGGUAAAUGUUCAUCCCAAUUACCUAGGAAUUCCAAGGUACAUGCUCUCAGCAUAUCUUCAAGUGUUUGUAUUGUUCUUUCACUCUGACCAUCAGUCUGCGGAUGGUAAGCUGUGCUUAAACAUAACUUGGUACCCAUUUCCUCUUGUAGACUUUUCCAAAACCUUGAGGUGAAACGGCUAUCACGAUCCGAUACAAUCGUUAACGGAACACCGUGAAGCCUCACAAUUUCCUUCACGUAAGAAUUCGCAAGCUUUUCCAUAGACCAUUUCUCCCUGGCCGCUAUGAAAUGCGCACUCUUAGUGAAUCGAUCAACGACCACCCAAAUCAUGUCGUGACCAUUCUUUGUUCUGGGCAGUUUAGUGACAAAAUCCAUAGCAAUGUCUUCCCACUUACCCAUAGGCACAGGCAAUGGUUCUAAACUCCCGUAAGGUUUCUGAUGUUGUGUCUUGACUCUCGCACAAGUCACACACUCGGCCACAUACUUUGCAACAUCAAGCUUCAUCGUCGGCCACCAGUAGUAGGGUUUCAGGUCCCUAUACAUUUUAGUGCUACCCGGAUGAAUUGAGUACAUGGUUUUGUGAGCUUCUUCCAUCAGAAGAUCCCUAAUUCCUCCUGACUUAGGUACCCAAAUACGAUCUUGGAAUACCUUCAGUCCAUGACCGUUAGUACCAAACACCAACGUUUUACCCAAACGUUCCUCCUUUCGGUCAUUUUUCUCAGAAGCUUCCUCUUGAGCUUUCUUUAUACUUUCCACAAUAGUCGAGACAACUUCAAUUCUCAACGCUCUUGGCCUCUUCCUUUCAAGAUUGACUUUCCGACUGAGAGCAUCAGCAACAACAUUAGCUUUACCGGGGUGGUAAAGUAUCUCGCAGUCGUAGUCUUUAAGUAAUUCUAGCCAGCGUCGUUGCCUCAUAUUCAAUUCUUUCUGAUUAAAGAGGUAUUGGAGACUCUUAUGAUCAGUGAAAAGUUUGCACUUCGUGCCAUAGAGGUAAUGCCUCCAUAUUUUCAGAGCGAAAACUACCGCUGCCAACUCCAAAUCAUGAGUCGGGUAAUUCUUUUCAUGCUCUUUCAGCUGUCGAGACGCAUAUGCUAUCACCUUUUCUCUUUGGGUCAAAACACAACCCAAUCCAACACCAGACGCAUCGCUAUAAACAGCGAAGUCUUCAACUCCAUCGGGUAGAGAAAGUAUCGGUGCCUCGCAUAGCUUCUUCUUUAACUUCUCGAAUGCUUCUUUAUGCUUCUCACUCCAAGCAUAAGUAGCUCCUUUGUGGGUCAAAGCUGUUAAUGGAGUAGCAAUCGAAGAAAAGCCUUGGAUAAACCUUCGGUAAUAUCCGGCUAAUCCUAAAAAGCUUCGAAUCUCCGUGGGACUUUUCGGUUGUUCCCACUUCGUCACAGCUUCGAUCUUCGCUGGAUCAACCAUUAUCCCUUCUUGGUUGACCACGUGACCCAAGAAUUGGACCUCACGAAUCCAAAAAUCACAUUUGGAGAACUUCGCAUAAAGCUUCUCCUUCUUCAAAACUUCUAACACUUCUCGCAAGUGUCUGCCAUGCUCCUCCUGGCUUUUCGAGUAGAUCAGAAUGUCGUCUAUGAACACUAUCACGGAUUUAUCAAGGAAAGGAUUACAAACCCUAUUCAUCAAAUCCAUGAACGCUGCUGGAGCAUUGGUUAGUCCAAACGACAUAACCAAGAACUCGUAGUGUCCAUAUCUAGUUCUGAAUGCAGUCUUCUCGAUAUCUUGCUCUCUUACUUUCAGCUGAUGAUAUCCUGACCUAAGAUCGAUCUUCGAGAAAUAGCUCGAACCUUGCAAUUGAUCAAACAGGUCAUCAAUCCUCGGCAACGGAUAUCUAUUCUUUAUUGUUGCCUUGUUCAGCUCUCUGUAAUCGAUGCACAUUCUCAUACUUCCAUCUUUCUUCUUUACAAAUAACACCGGAGCUCCCCAGGGCGAUGAACUAGGUCUAAUGAAACCUUUGUCCAAUAACUCCUGAAGUUGCAUCAUCAGCUCCUUCAUCUCCGUCGGUGCUAAUCGAUAAGGUGCUUUUGCUAUUGGCGUGGUUCCUGGUAACAAGUCUAUUCUGAACUCCACUUGUCUAUCAGGUGGUAAUCCAGGAAGAUCCUCGGGAAAUACUUCCGGAUAAUCACACACCACUGGAAUGCUCUGCAUCACCUUCUUUUCUUUCUUAGCAUCAAUCACGAAUGCUAAAUAUGAUGUACAUCCCUUGGUCAAACACUUUCUGGCUUUCAUUAGAGAAAUGAUUCCAGAAUUCACUCUGCGUUUGUCCCCAUACACCAUAAACGAAUCUUUCCCAGGCGGGUUUACUUUAACUAUCUUCUUCUUGCACAAAAUUUCGGCAUCAUUGGCGCUAAGCCAAUCCAUUCCCAAGACGAUGUCGAAACCAUUUAGUUCGAUAGGCAAUAAUUCCUCGAGAAACUUAUUCCCAUUAAGGUCGAUCAAGACGUUUUUCAUACGAUGGCUAACAGGUACAAACUUGCCACUAGCUACUUCGACUAAUAAAGCAUUAUCUAGUCUAUCAACAGGCAAAGCUAGCUUUCUACCAAACUCAUGCGAAAUAAAGGAGUAGUUGGCUCCAGAAUCAAACAAUAUAUGAGCAGGUAAUUCGUUUACGAGAAAGGUACCUGAAGCGACAUCAGCUUCAUCUUUCGCAGCCUCAAGUGUCAUCUGGAAGGCUCUCGCCUUCGGCUUUGGUGGAAUGUUGGGCCUAGCUGCCUCCUUCUUCUUCGGACAGUCUUUCAAAAUAUGCCCCUCUUCAUUACACCCAAAACACAUCCUUUUGUUGUUCGGACAUUCAUUGGCAAAAUGUCCAACCUUUCCACACUUGUAGCAGGUCACAUCCUCGCUACAUUUCCCAAAGUGCUUUUUCUUACACUUAUCACACCACUUUGCUUCGCCUCCUUUUCCUCCAAACUUUUUCGAAUCAGAUUUCGAAAAUUUGCUCUUCUUACUGGAACCAGAUGUUCCUUCAAACUUCCUUUUCUCACCAACCUCAACCUUGACGGUGGUUCUCCCCUUGAUCAUGUUCUCCACAGACUUGGCAGCCCAGAUAGCUGCCUCUAGAGUAAGUGCCUGACGUACCGGCACCUCGUACUCCCAUGGAAGUCCCUUCGCAUACCGAUCCACCUUUGUCAGCUCGUCUGGAACGAUACGCAAGGCAAACUCCAUCUUAUCGGUGAAGUUAUUGGUGUACUCAUCCACUGACAUGCUACCCUUCGUCAAUGUCAAAAACUUGUUCUCCAACUCCAACAGAUUUUGAGCCGAGCAGAACUUGCGCUUGAACUGCACCAAGAACUCUGCCCAUGACAAUUGCAGUGGCUCAUUAGGGCUUAAGGUCUUCCCUAGAGUGUUCCACCAACGAACGGCUCCACCUCGGAAUUGUCGCACGGCAUAGAUAGUCUGCAACUUGCCUCUACAGCCACAUGUCAUAAAGGCUAACUCCAUUUCGGAGAUCCAAUCCAUAACCCCAAUCGGAUCCUCCUUUCCAUUGAAGGUCGAUGGUUUACAAGUCAAAAAGUCCUUGUACUUGCAUCCCAUUCCAUCAUUCCUUCCAUCAUGGUUAUCUUGCCUAACUAUCGGUGGGUUGGCUGGACCAACAGACCCACUGAAGUUUCCACCUUCCGAGUGCCCUUCAUUCAGUUCAGGCUCUUCCACACGAAUCGACAGUUCUUCACGAUUUUGUUGAAGCAACCGUCUAGUUUCAUCCAUCUGACGAUCCAACAUCGUCUGAAUCAUCAAUUGCACACCAGCCAUGGUUAUUGGCUCAGGUGCUGCUGCUACGACAGGUAUUGGCUCAAUCACUGGUGGUUGAUUCCUGUUUUCGUCAGCAUUUCCAACUCCACUUCUUGUUCUCACCAUUUUGAUCUACACCGAAUAAGGUGAAAUUAGAUCCUCAAUCAUGAUAGAUAUUCAAAUCAUCCUUAUCACUCCGAAACGUUUACAUGCUAGUUCUAAUAUCGUAGACGUACGCUUAGAAUCCUACACACAUAAGGUUUCUAGAUCCGGUCGGCAACAGACCAUAGAUCCGAACAAAUAAUAUCAUAUAUGGCAACAUAUAACAUUUAGCACAUAAAGCAUUUUAGGCAACUUUCCUAAAAUAAACUAGUGCUCGUGUCUAAAUCACAACAGACACACAUCUCAAAACUUCACUUAGCAUUCUAAGUUUAAGUCUAGAAAUCCUACAAAUUCCUAGUUCGCUUAAACUAAUGCUCUGAUACCAACUGUGACAUCCCCAAAAUCUCGGCCAGAAAAGACCGAUUUUCAUUUAUGCUUUUAAAUAUUUUCAGAGUAAAUCCUUUUGAUUUGAAAGAGUUGCGGAAUUUGUUCCCAAAAACAAAACAUGAUAAAACAUUGUUUACCGAAGCAUUUCAUAAAAGAAAUGUAUUUUCAUUAUAAUCAAAACUCGGGGUGUCAUGUUCCGAUACAGACCAAUAAGCAUAAACGAAUACAUUACAAGUCAUAUAACAAAUAUAAACAUAUGCAGACUUGUAAACAAAACAACUUGAUGGUUCAUCCAUCUCAUGCCCUUCCGCCACUACCUGUAAUACAAUUUAAAACUGAGUGGGUCAGGCUUGGGAGCCUGGUGAGCAUAUAGGGUUUUCAACCCACAAUAAAUAUCAUAUUUAAUUUUCACCAACCAACAAUAACCCAAUUACCCAUUCCCGUUAUUCUCACUUUAAUGUCCCUAAAACAACUAACAUAAGGGACCUAGUCUAAGAAUAUUUCAUCGGGGCGACAACACAUGCUUCGGGGGUACCUCAGCAAUAUAAGUCAAAUAAGGCAACCAUGAGGGGGAUGGAGUACAGCGAAUGAACACCCAAGUUCAUUAACACCUACAGGUGGCGAACCUGCUAAUGUUUCCACAAGACUGUCUAGAAUAGCCAGUGGUCGUCAUCUAAACUCCGCUAGAUGACUCAAUCAAACAACAACGAGGCCUCUCAUCUGUUUAUUACACACCAACUGUCUACCCAUGUUCUACCCAACAUAUUAGUAGAUAAAAAUAUACAUUUGUAUACAUAGUUUAAAGAAAACCUGUAUAGCAUGCUUUAAUCAACACAUAUAUCACAUAACAGAUGAGGCACACACACACAUAAC